AGAAAAUGUUUUCAGUUGCAGUAGUGGCCUUUGAGGCACACACUAUUUAGAUGAAUACUAAUUGUGUUGGAGUCUUUCUCAGUUUUUUUUUUCUCACAAGGUUUCAGGAAAUGGAUCAUAAACAUGAACAUGAGCAGGAGUGCAACAGACCAGCACAGAAUACUUCAUUGGAUCCUACCUGAACACACGCAUCCUACCACCCAAUUUCUCAAUUUUAUCUGGACUGCCAGAAGGAGGUGGAGGGAGAUGUGAAGCUAGCUGUGUACUGAUAACUACUAAGUAGCACCACCCUGACCUGUUAUAGUUGUGAUUUCCUCUGUGAGUUUUCUGUAUGAAGUGAAU